GCCAAUAUGCCCCCCACCUCUCCAUCUCUUCUCUCAUCUGCUCUAUUUUCUUCCGCCGCCGGCGACAUCCUUUCCCCACGGCCAGGGAUGGUGCCCUGCUCCCCUUACUGGCAACAAGCAGCGCCGCCACACUGUGCCUCCGCCUCCUCUUCUAUUUCCCCGCCGCGUUGCUCGGUCGCGCCCCUACUCGCUCACCCGGUAAACCCUAACCUCUCCCCUGCUCCGACGCCGCCUCCUCCUCGACCCCCUAGCUCCUUCUCCACUAUAUCGACGUCGACAACCACCUCCUGGAACCCGCGCUACCAUGUCUUCCCUUCCCAUCGCUGGGCGGUUGGUGCUUCAUCGUCGAGGCAGCUGGUGCCGAUCUGGCCGCCGCACCACCUCGGGAGGAGUUGGGGUGGCGGCGCCGCUGUUGGCGGGAGGCGGCACGGUAGACAGGGAGCGACGAGGAGGUGACGCCCAUGUCAACCACAGGCCCGGAGGUCACCAGCAGGCAGCAGCUACGCGUCGCGUCGGUCCACAUCUUUGCAAAGUCUUGGAGUGGACUGUUUGAUCUGUUCCUUCUAUUGGUGCCUGCUUUUUUCUCCACACAGAUGCUUUCUGUUGUCCUCUCUACGGCCAUGUAUUGUCCACGAAAAAACAAUCUCCUGAUGCAUGAUCGAAGUUCCCAGGUGCCUGCGAGCACAUAAGGGGCUCGCUACGUUGAGUAUUAACAUAUUUCAUAAUUGUAUUUAUUUUUCCAUCUCUCAGUAGUUCUCUUCAUGUCCCAAUGCUUUUCUAUGAAAAUUAGUUUUGUUCUCUUAUGGCUGCAUGUAAGCAAGCCUGAGUUAAAGAUGAGCAAAACCAGCAAACAAUUUGGUUCUAAUACGAUGUUUUCCUAAUGAAAUGUAUUGUAAUUCUUUUGUCAGAACUGAACUGUUCUUUCUGACCUCUAGAAAGUGUCAGAUCUGACGUAUAUUUGACUUAGGGCGGCUUGAAUUUUUGCGCGGGCAAGGUCUUUCAGUCCUCAUAAAGCUCCGUAUGUGAGUUCUUGCUUAAGAGAGGCUUCAUAGCAUGUGUUGAUAAUUUCGAUCAUUAGUAGUAAAGAAACCCGCAGCUCCUCACCUGGACGGUGCUCCUCGAUCCUGCAGAUGGUCCAUCGCCGCAAGCGAUAACCAGCAGUGCUAGCGCCUGCUCCAGAUCAGGGAGCAUGGCAUCACCUGUAAGCCGCCCUGUCACCACCCAAACAACGGUCAGAAUGUCAACGCUGCAGUCGCGAGGCGGAGCACUAAGAACUAUGGUAGCAGAGGAAUCCCAUAGUAGGAGCAGCCGAGCAGGAUGGAUUUGGUUCAGGAUCAUGGUGAGGAGGGGAUACAUUACCUGGCCAGAUUGAACCUCAUGCAUGAUCUCCGGCUGCGACAUGACCGUCUUGGCUCUCUCCUGGUUCUUCUACUUCCUCACUCAAAGCUCACGCGUGGUGAAUUAGAUCAUUUUGUACGACAAAAGCACCUAGAUGUGGUUAAUCAAAAUUUAUUAGAGUGUGUAUUACAAAGUUUCUUCCAAGGUUGCUGGAUAUGCGCAUGGAAUUGAGAAAAUGGUGUUUUUGAGAUCGCCACUGACUCUCCUCUUUUAUGAGAGUGUUGAUCCGUUUAUCUUGCAUGAUUACAUUGAAACGACACACAGAAAAUCACCCUUAAAGGUAUUGCGAUUGUUUAGUUUUUUCAUGGGUCUAGGUUCAGUUUAGAUCUGGAGUGGGAGUGUUUAUAUUUAAAUAUAUACAUUGAUGCCUACUCCUUAGGCAAUACAUCUGGAAGGUUUAAACAGGAAUAUUGCAAAUAAACUAUAUUACACAGAUAGUUUCAAUGAACAAUUCUCUAGGUUCAGUGCAUAAUUUCUUAUGGAAAUGUUUUUUUUUGUCUCAUAGAUGACGAUGGUGGGACUUGAUAUAUGCACGACAUAAUAAAAUAGGAAUCACUGUAGGAAGCACAAAUAAAAAUAGCUGAUCAAAUAGGUUGAUUUCCAGGAUAAGUGCACACAUAUUACCAAAUCUAGAUUGAAUCAAUACACCUGAUCAAGUUAAGUGUUCUUCAGCUAGAGAGCAGUAAUACUAAUUGGUAGAUUAGUUGAGAAUAAUCUCUUUCAACUGUGUUCUCCGUUGUGUGUUUGAUCCAGCUUGAUGGUUGGUUUCACAUAUGUACAUCUCUUAGGUUUGCAAGCAGCUUAGUAUCAUGGGAAGUAGUGAAUCAGUGAUUUGAUGGAUCAUGGGAAGUAGUGAAUAUGUGAUUUGAUCGAUCGGCAGGUGUUCAAAAUUUUGCUACAACAUCCAGGGUUAGCAAGAGAAGUGCUUGAGGCAACCUUCUGGCUGUAGCACACAGGACACUAUCAAUUGCUACAAGGUAACCGAGAUCCAUUUUGUUCUCGCAUUCACAUAGAUUUGCCUGUCAAAUAUAAAUUAUUAAUAACAUGUAGGAUUUAAAUCGUGUUACCUUCCAAUUUAGUCCUAGAAUGUUUGAGUAUACAAAGUUAAUGGAAGAGCCAUUGCAAUUUUGGGCUCAGAACAUCCACAAGUAACUGUAAUACUAGAAGUAACCAUGCUAUAUCCCCGACUUGUGCACUAUCCUUCUAAGUUCUAACAACUUGGGGACAUUGCUGUUACUAUUUUUAGAUUUCACACUUAAAUUGGCUAAUUGAAUGAUUCCAUGCAACUAUUUUUCUGAACCAUUUCUGUUUGCCACACUGCAGUUCUGAUCAUUUUUUAAAAUUCUUUCACAACAUUGCUUUCAGUGAAAAAACAAAGAAAAUUCCACCAAAUAUAGACCCUGCAGAAUACUUCCCUUAGGGCAUGUACAUUACAAAGCGCUUGAGCAGACGCUUAAAAACUAGAAAUCCUGAUCUGCACUAGCGUCCGGCGCUAAAGACCCCUAUUUUGCAUGCGUUUCUCAAGCGUCCGGCUCCAAUCUUUCCGUCGAUGUCAAAUUAACGGCCGGGAAUAUCAUGGAAACUGCCAAAACAGCCAGGUUUUCUUUCCUAGCGCCUCUCCCUUAGCGCUCGCGCUGUACCUGCCCUUAGAGGGCCAAUUAGUUUCCAAUUGUUUUCUUCGUAAAAAAAUUCGUUGCCUCUUGUUUUAGGCGUAAAUAAACUGGAGUGCAUGGACUGGAAAAAGCUCAGUCUCAUUAGUGGGACGGAGGAAGGUCGGAUUAUUGAAAUGAGAAUCGUCAGUGAGCUUUCUCGAAUUAUUUUUUGAUAGACCAAUUCAGAUUAGUCCAAAACCUUUUUAUUUGUUUGUUUGUUGCCCAGAAAAACCCUUUGGUUUUGGAUGCUCAUUGCCAUUCUAAAAUGAUUUUGUUUUCUAGAAUCGUGAUCCCUUCUAAGUGGGUGCAUGCCAAAGCAGUACGUUACUCUAUGUUAGAACGUGGGUACUGAAAUGGUGUAUUCAGUGGAAGGGUUAGAUGCUUCUACACAUGACUCCUGCAAAGAAUAUGUUUUCAAGAACCUCA